GCCACCCAACGGCCCGGACGCUCGCGCGCGCCAAUACGCAGGCGCCGGUGCCUGGCAGCUGCGACGCAGGCGCACUUGGCGUUUCGGGGGCGUGGCGCUGCAGGGCCAGUGGCGUGGCGAGAGCUGGAGAGGCCGCGGGACGCCGCGGGCAGUUGGUGCGCCCCUGGAGCGGAGGAUUACCUACAGGCAUUGUCUUCAGUGUAAGAUCAAGGAUAAAAUCUGAACAUUGAGGUGGAAACAGUCUGAACAUUGUGUGAUUUUUGGUGUGCAGUGAAUACAGAAUCCUAGUUAAGUAGGGGAAAUAUGCAGAAGUCACACCCCUGAUAUUUACCAAGUGCAACAGUCCCUUACCAUGUGCUGCAUCGUCACCAGACCUGACCGGACUUGGUCCAUAUACAGCGUAGGGAUGUGGGACAGGACGUAGUGCCAGGAAAAGAGUGGAGUCCACGUUGGAGUGUCUUACUGGAACAGGAGGACUUGGGAACUCCUGCUAUGUGGCUCAGCACCCUAUUCAGAAAUCUCCAUGGUGUCAGUCCCACAGGUGGCCCAGAUUCACCAACCACAUGGCUUCAGCUGCUGCUGCCUCCUUUGCUCCUGCCUCUUGUGGCUGGGGGCCCAAAG